ACACGCUGGCGGCGUGCUUAACACAUGCAAGUCGAACGGAGAAUUUAUUUCGGUAAAUUCUUAGUGGCGAACGGGUGAGUAACGCGUGGGCAACCUGCCCUUCAGAUGGGGACAACAUCCCGAAAGGGGUGCUAAUACCGAAUACGAUCACGCUGCCGCAUGGCGGUGUGAUGAAAGAUGGCCUCUAUUUAUAAGCUAUCGCUGAAGGAUGGGCCUGCGUCUGAUUAGCUAGUUGGUGGGGUAACGGCCUACCAAGGCGAUGAUCAGUAGCCGGUCUGAGAGGAUGAACGGCCACAUUGGAACUGAGACACGGCCCAAACUCCUACGGGAGGCAGCAGUGGGGAAUAUUCCGCAAUGGACGAAAGUCUGACGGAGCAACGCCGCGUGAGUGAUGAAGGUUUUCGGACUGUAAAACUCUGUUGUUUAGGACGAAAGUGCCUGUUGCAAAUAGUUGCAGGUAUUGACGGUACUGAACGAGGAAGCCACGGCUAACUACGUG
rnacentral:rRNA from 1 species